rnacentral:rRNA from 1 species
UACGAAGGGGGCUAGCGUUGCUCGGAAUCACUGGGCGUAAAGCGCACGUAGGCGGACCUUUAAGUCAGGGGUGAAAUCCUGGAGCUCAACUCCAGAACUGCCUUUGAUACUGGGGAUCUCGAGUCCGGGAGAGGUGAGUGGAACUCCGAGUGUAGAGGUGAAAUUCGUAGAUAUUCGGAAGAACACCAGUGGCGAAGGCGGCUCACUGGCCCGGUACUGACGCUGAGGUGGCGAAAGCGUGGGGAGCAAACAGGG